AUUGAACGCUGGCGGCAGGCCUAACACAUGCAAGUCGAACGAGUGGCGGAAGGGUGAGUAAUGUCUGGGAAACUGCCCGAUGGAGGGGGAUAACUACUGGAAACGGUAGCUAAUACCGCAUACCAUCGGAUGGGGCCAGAUGGGAUUAGAUAGUAGGUGGGGUAACGGCUCACCUAGGCGACGAUCCCUAGCUGGUCUGAGAGGAGGACCAGCCACACUGUAACUGUGACACGGUCCAUACUCCUACGGGAGGCAGCAGUGGGGAAUAUUGCCCAAUGGGCUCAAGCCGGAUGCAGCCAUGCCGCGUGUAUGAAGAAGGCCUUCGGGUUGUAAAGUUCUUUCAGCGAGGAGGCGUUACUCGCAGAAGAAGCCCCGGCUAACUCCGUGCCAGCCGCCGCGGUAAUUC
rnacentral:rRNA from 1 species